UACAGAGGUCCCGAGCGUUGUUCGGAUUUACUGGGCGUAAAGGGUGCGUAGGCGGUGGGGUAAGUUUGAGGUGAAAGCUCCGGGCUCAACCCGGAAAAUGCCUUGAAAACUAUCCGGCUAGAGGGUUGGAGGGGAGACUGGAAUUCUCGGUGUAGCAGUGAAAUGCGUAGAGAUCGGCAGGAACACCCAGGGGGAAACCAGUCGACUGGGCAUCUACUGACGCUGAGGUGCGAGAGCGUGGGGAGCGAACCGG
rnacentral:rRNA from 1 species